GACGAACGCUGGCGGCGUGCUUAACACAUGCAAGUCGAGCGGUAAGGCCCUUUCGGGGGUACACGAGCGGCGAACGGGUGAGUAACACGUGGGUGACCUGCCCUCAGCUCUGGGAUAAGCCCGGGAAACUGGGUCUAAUACCGGAUAUGACUCCAUGACGCAUGUUGUGGGGUGGAAAGCCUUGUGCGGCUGAGGAUGGGCCCGCGGCCUAUCAGCUUGUUGGUGGGGUGAUGGCCACCAAGGCGACGACGGGUAGCCGGCCUGAGAGGGCGACCGGCCACACUGGGACUGAGAUACGGCCCAGACUCCUACGGGGAGCAGC
rnacentral:rRNA from 1 species